rnacentral:lncRNA from 1 species
GCCAAUAUAAAAUGUCAUUUCCCAAAAUGAAUGAUGUUUGCAGGAUGAAGUGAGCAGCAAAAUGUUUGAAGGACACAAAGUUGCAGAAAUCAUAGCUUCAUUGCACUCAGCAGUGGAGUUAGAGUUUGAACUAUAAUCUGAAGCAAUUUUUAGGCCACCUUUGCAACUCUACUAGCAUCUUCCCUUUUGUCAAGAGAAUUAUUUUACUCUAUUUGCGCAAUAUAAGUUUUUAAUGACCGCCUUUCAAUUUACGCCUCUUGCUUCUACCUAACUUAGGUGAUAGAAUGGAUUCCAGUUCCAUCUCCUAUUGAGACAAUAGCAAUGACCACGCCGAUGCCGAGGUGACUGCUGGUACUAUUUUAUGAAGAUUCCUCAACGGAUUAAUUAAUCGAUUUUUAUUUCUUCUGUGGCAAGAUGUUUUCCAGCACAUAGAACAUAAAAAAAGCAAAGCUUAUUUGACAUAAGAUCUUUGCAAAUUAUUUCAAU